GGGUCAAGGUAGCUCUAGGCUACAGGGUCCUUGCUAGGGGGUCUCUGGGAGCGCUUGGACCCUGGCUUCUGGGACGCGUCAGGAGAAGGGAGCGUUGGCUUUGCUUUCAUCAGGACAAAGAUGCCUUUCUUUGGGAAUACGUUCAGUCCGAAGAAGACACCUCCUCGGAAGUCGGCAUCUCUCUCCAACCUGCAUUCUUUGGAUCGAUCAACCCGGGAGGUGGAGCUGGGCUUGGAAUACGGAUCCCCAACUAUGAACCUGGCAGGGCAAAGCCUGAAGUUUGAAAAUGGCCAGUGGAUAGCAGGUGAGCUACACUUCCUGCCAUUUUGUCAAACAAGAUUGUAGGAGGAAAUCCCCCUUUAACUGGUUCUGUCCUUCCUCCAGAGACAGGGGUUAGUGGUGGUGUGGACCGGAAGGAGGUUCAGCGCCUUCGCAGGCGCAACCAGCAGUUGGAGGAAGAGAACAAUCUCUUGCGGCUGAAAGUGGACAUCCUGUUAGACAUGGUGAGGCAGGUGAUGGGGAAGAGAGGCCUAGCUUCUCCUUUUGGGAAGGCUCCACCUCGAGUCAUUUAAUCCGACAGAUAUCUCCUCAAUGCCAGUUUGGCCAGGUACAUUGCUUUGCAUC
rnacentral:sRNA from 1 species